AUUUAUUUAUUUAUUUAUUUUUACAAAGUAGAAAGUGAAUAGGCAUAAAAAAUUGAUAAGCGGCUGAAAUAUAAGAAGCUAAAAUAAAUAUUUCUCUCUUUUUAUUUAUUUUUUAAUUAAUUAAUGGUACUUGGUAAGUUUUUUAAUUAAUAAAUAUAAGAAGAAGGAUGAUUGAGUGAAAUUUUUUUUGAUAAGGGCAUUUUAGUCCAAAAAUGUUGCUAGGUAAGUUUUAUGGAAUUCAUUUCAAAUUCUAUCAAAUUUUAUAGAAAUUGGUUUUAGUUAUAACCAAUUCUAUAGAAUUGAAUUCUAAUUUUUAUUCCAACCAAAAAAAUUAAAUAUGGAAUUAAAUUGAAUUCCAGAAAAUUUUGUAAAAUGGAAUGAACCAAGCAGGGUCUAAAAGCUUCAGCUUCACUUAAGAGAAAAGAGAGAACUGAAGUGUCGGAAUUAGGAUAAUCUGCAAUGUAGUCAUUUGGAGACUAUUCAAUUCUUAAUGCUUUAUGGAAAAGAAUAGAAAAGAAAAGAAAUAUCAUUUCUCUAUUUUCUUUUGUUUGGACAGCAAUUAGAAAAAGGAAGUUAGAGGAAAAAAAUGGAAAUUAGAUUUCCUAAUUUCCUUUAAACCUCCAAAAAUUUUCUCUCCAAUUUGGAGUAAAAAGGAGGAAAAUAAGAAAGUAAAAUAAUUAUAAAGGCUGAAGUAUGAAUAUAUCCUUACACCAUAUAACAUGACAAGGGUAUAACA
rnacentral:misc_RNA from 1 species